rnacentral:rRNA from 1 species
GAUGAACGCUGGCGGUAUGCUUUUACACAUGCAAGUCGAACGCAAGUUUUAACUUGAGUGGCGGACGGGUGAGUAACACGUGAGAAUUCGCCUUUAGGCGGGGAAAUAAACUAUUGGAAACAAUAGCUAAUGCCCCAUAUGCUUUUAAAAUGAAAGAAAACUUUUCACCUGAAGAGAAGCUCGCGGCUGAUUAGCUAGUUGGUUAAGGUAAUGGCUUACCAAGGCGACGAUCAGUAACUGGUUUGAGAGAACGAUCAGUCACACUGGAACUGAGACACGGUCCAGACUCCUACGGGAGGCAGCAGUGGGGAAUUUUCCGCAAUGGGCGCAAGCCUGACGGAGCAAUACCGCGUGAGGGAUAAAGGCCUCGGUGUAAACUACUUUAUCUAAGAGGAAUUUAGUACGUGUACUUGAUGAAUAAGACAUCGGCUAACUCCGUGCCA